UAACAUUAAGGCACAUUGGGCCUGGGGUUUCCAGCUUCCAGUUCCUGGUUGUGGAGGAAUGGAGUGAAAGUAAGUCCACGUAGAGAAAGAAGAAGAAUUCAAUAAAAUUCUAGGUUUUCCAAGGGAGUAGAAGUAUUUCAGCAAUAGGCAUCCCAGAAACCUGUGAAGAGGCUUAUUCCCCAGCUUGUUCCUGUCUCCUGCCAAGAGAAGACUUACCAGAUAUUGCAUCAUCUGAGGGCAGGGCAGCUCAUGAGGUGUUUUGGUCUGAUUCAGCAGAGCCAAAAUCACGGUUGAGUGCCUAAGUGCCGGUCCUUGAUCUCCCUUGCAGACCUAUCGCUACCCAUCUGUCAGCCUUCGUUCGUGUAUAGGCAACGUACAGAAGCAUCAAGCAACAAGCUGUGUGGGAGCAGGCUGCUGUGGGAGAAGGAGACUGCGAGGAAAGCUGGCGUCCUGGAACUAGACACAAUCCUGGCUGCCGUAACCACUGCCUUUGAGAGAGCUACAGCUGAGAAAAUCCGCUGCCAGGAAGAAGUGAAUAGAACUAACAAGGCUAUUGAGCUGGCCAACAGAUUAGUGAAAGGUCUGAGGUGAGGUCCUACAGGGCAGGCUAAUGAAGCAGCCUACAGAAAGCACUUCUUUGUUAUACACUACUGAUCUGGCA
rnacentral:lncRNA from 1 species